UGUAAUGUAAUUAUGGUAUGUAUAUAUAUUUGUGCGUGGUGGUGAGAAUUUAAAAAAAAAGAAAAAAAAAAAAGAAAAAGGAGAAGGAAAAAGGGUGGGACCCACACCCCUUUUAAGUGGUUGUAAGACCACAUUUGAUCUUAGUUUUUCCAUCUGCUCUCUCUCCCUGUCUUCCUCUCGGUUCUUUUUUUUUUUUUUUUUUUUUUAUUUCAAGCUUCCACUCUUGAUUUCUCCCUCAUUUUUUAGUAUUUUUAAGAGCCGUUUGCGGCUAUUCGAAGCCCACGAUGAGAUCAACAAGUUGAUGGGAGCAAUUCCUUGGUUGGUGCACUAUAAGAGAUUCGAAAAUCCUAGGAUUUGAGGUGAAGAAAUUGGGGGUUUUGCAUACAAGUGAGGAAACGGGAAAGAAGUGGCGGAUGAUGUACCACCACAGGCCUAAUUUGGAUUAGAAGACCUUUUUGCUAUUUUUGUAUUAAGUCCCAUAUUUUUUGUAAAACCUUAGUUUGAUAUAUUUAGUAUAGAGAUUUGUAGACUCUUACUAUUAUAGUUAUACUCAUGAGCUGUAAUUUUAUUAUAAAUUGUCUAAACAUAGUAAGACAUGGACGUUUGAACUUAAUUAUAUUUUUGGGACUGUAAUUAUGAUAUUUGGAUUAAAUAGCAUGUAGUUGUUCCACUAUAAACUGAACUAUGUUGAGAUAUAAUGAAUGGAUGAAUGGGAUGCUGGAAUAUAUUAAUUGUAUUAUGUGUUGGGACAGGUCGGAUAUGUCUUGAAAGGCCAAGAAGGGCCAUUGCGUUUUUUUUUAGCAGGUGGUUAUAGGCCCCUUUUUAAGGGAGGUCAUGUCAAAUUUUUUUUUUUUAAA